GCAGACGCACUCCUACGGGAGGCAGCAGUGGGGAAUAUUGCACAAUGGGCGCAAGCCUGAUGCAGCCAUGCCGCGUGUAUGAAGAAGGCCUUCGGGUUGUAAAGUACUUUCAGCAGUGAGGAAGGUGGGUAUGUUAAUAGCAUACUCAUUUGACGUUAGCUGCAGAAGAAGCACCGGCUAACUCCGUGCCAGCAGCCGCGGUAAUACGGAGGGUGCGAGCGUUAAUCGGAAUUACUGGGCGUAAAGCGCAUGCAGGUGGUUUGUUAAGUCAGAUGUGAAAGCCCGGGGCUCAACCUCGGAAUUGCAUUUGAAACUGGCAAACUAGAGUACUGUAGAGGGGGUAGAAUUUCAGGUGUAGCGGUGAAAUGCGUAGAGAUCUGAAGGAAUACCGGUGGCGAAGGCGGCCCCCUGGACAGAUACUGACACUCAGAUGCGAAAGCGUGGGGAGCAAACAGGAUUAGAUACCCUGGUCG
rnacentral:rRNA from 1 species